CUAAUGUGGAUACCCCGGGAGGUCACUCUCCCUGGGCUCUGUCCAGGUGGUGCAGGGGAGCACAGGGCUCAGCCCAGUGAUGUACAGUACCAUUCCACAACGUUGGAGAUGAAGCCAGGCUCUGGAGCCUGCACCUGCAUAUUCCUACAGCUUCUCUGAGUCUUACUGACAAUGACUGAGGAGACAAACCAUGCAGGAAAGUUUU
rnacentral:snoRNA from 1 species